UUCAAUGGCGGUUCAGGCAGGGGAGGCUUCGGCCUCGCCGGGUGGGAACUCCGGUACUGCGAACCCUGCUUUGAAUCGCCACCAUC
rfam:Xenorhabdus khoisanae strain MCB contig064, whole genome shotgun sequence.